GUGCCAGCCGCCGCGGUAAUACGUAGGAGGCAAGCGUUAUCCGGAUUUAUUGGGCGUAAAGUGCGUUGAGGCGGUUCUGUAAGUUGGACGUGAAAGCUCCUGGCCCAACUGGGAGAGGUCGUUCAAUACUGCAGGGCUUGAGGGCAGCAGAGGGAGGUGGAAUUCCCGGUGUAGUGGUGAAAUGCGUAGAUAUCGGGAGGAACACCAGUGGCGAAGGCGGCCUCCUGGGCUGCUCCUGACGCUGAAGGCGAAAGCUAGGGGAGCGAACGGGAUUAGACACCCCGGUAGUCCUAGCUGUAAACGAUGGAUACUAGGUGUGGGAAGUGAAAAAUCUUUCCGUGCCGAAGCUAACGCGUUAAGUAUCCCGCCUGGGGAGUACGAUCGCAAGGUUAAAACUCAAAGGAAUUGACGGGUCUCCGCACAAGCAGCGGAGCGUGUGGUUUAAUUCGAUGCUACGCGAAGAACCUUACCAGGGCCUGACAUGCAGGUAGUAGUGAAGCGAAAGCGGAACGACCCGCGAGGGAGCCUGCACAGGUGCUGCAUGGCUGUCGUCAGCUCGUGCCGUGAGGUGUUAGGUUAAGCCCUGUAACGAGCGCAACCCUUACCGUUAGUUACAUGUGUCUAGCGGAACUGCCCGGCAAAACUGGGAGGAAGGUGGGGAUGACGUCAAGUCAGCAUGGCCCUUGUGUCCUGGGCUACACACACGCUACAAUGGCCGGUACAAUGGGUCGCCAAGCCGUGAGGCGGAGCCAAUCCUUAAAGCCGGUCUCAGUUCGGAUUGUAGGCUGCAACCCGCCUGCAUGAAGGUGGAGUUGCUAGUAACCGCAGGUCAGCCACACUGCGGUGAAUGCGUUCCCGGAGAUUGUACACACCGCCCGUCACGUCAUGGGAGCUGGUAACACCUGAAGCCGGUGGGCUAACCGCAAGGAGGCAACCGUCGAAGGUGGGACUGGUGACUGGGACGAAGUCGUAACAAGGUAACC
rnacentral:rRNA from 1 species